AUUCGACCCCUAGCCUGGGAAUUUCCAUAUGCCACAGGUGUGGCUCCAAAAAGAAAGAAAGAAAAAGUUUGGGUUUUUUUGAGAGGGGGAGGUAUGCUGUGGACAAAGGAACUAGUGAUACCAUCUGUCCACAUGUCAUUUAUGUGCCCAAGGCAGUAUUUCCAGUCUGUUCCUUCCCCCAUAUGGAAAAAACUGACAUUUUGGAUAGAUCAACAACAAUUAUUGGCUUGGAUGGCUAUUUGGCUUAAGCAGAAGUUGGUGGGUUUUAGAGGAUGACUGUGAGUUAUUGUCAACUCAGCCAGGAGGUACCUUCAGCUCCAGCUCCUUUUCCCUUUGAGGUAUCUUGACUGGCAUACACUGCCACUAGCCCUAACAAUUGUUCUGCUGCUAUCGAUCUGCAAAGUACUUUUACCCUCUGUAAAAAUAUAUACAAGAACCAUCAAAAGCUUGUUGCUUUUAUCUAGCAGGACCAGCAGCGCACGCUCAUCAUCUUGCUGUAGGUGAAAUCAAUUUUCUGGCUCUCUGCCAGGAGGUCAGCAGAGGCUUCUGUGUGUCUUGACCUCCCACAAAAACAUCCGGCUGGUCUACUUUCUCCCUGACAUUGCUGAUCUGGCUGUACCAAGUCCCGCAGCUGCCUCAGGAAGGUGUGGAUGAGCUAGUGGUAAAGGGAGACUUCAUUACAGAUGCUGAAGAGUUAAAAGACUAAAACAAGAACACAGGAUGAAAAGAGAGAGACCCCUGAGUGCUGGAGAUCUGGAGUUCUCAGAAGCUGGAGCUUGGAGGAAAAGUCCUACAGACUGACUUUCGAAGGGGCGCUGGCACAGCGGGUACUGAUUCUUGAGUCCCUCACAAAAGGGGUGGGUGGGUGGGUCCUAGAUUAAAACGGGGCCUUGGAGUUCUGAGUGCCAGCCCUUCUCAGUGGUCGCUGAAACUUCUGAGAGAGAAUGAUGAAAACUGCUCCAGGAAUGAAAAAAAAAA